UUACCUUCGAGUUUGGUAAAUUACAAUGUGUGUGCGAAAUAACAUUCUUGCAUUUUCUCCUCUCUGUAUUUUGCACACUGAGGUUAAAAAAAAACCCACAUUGCAUAUUCAUUGUGGCAAACGUACUAAAUGGACAGCACGUAUUUCCUUGCACAGUUGAAAGAUGCAAACCUCAGUGCGCUGCGUUAGUAGAUCACUUGCACAAUUGUGUGUGGGUGAUGUACACACUUAAACCUUUAGUAAAUCAGGCCCUUAGUCUUUGGACAGAUGUUAAACAAGCAGGAAAUGAAACUUGACACUGAAUUUAAAGCAUAUUGUUCUAUGAUACAUACAGCACAGUUAAAUACACACAGAUACAGAUACACACAGAGUCUAUUCAUAGAGAUGUAGAGCUGCUAUAUGACUGUCUAUAAGCACAAUGUGAAAAUGCAGGUUUAUAAAAAUCUGAUAAAUUAUAACACUACAUUGAUCAAAACAGAUGCACAAAUGAACUAGGUGGACAUUGAGCGUUCAAUUGAUGGGAUGUUUCAUAUCUUUGUGACUAACGUUUAGUACACUCAGUCUUCUCUGUCACUUACUCCAUUAUUCUCUUUAGUUUGGCAGUUACAUUUACAUGUGAGUGGACAUGAGUUAUUUUUUGUACCUCCCAGUUUCCCACAGUGAAGCAGUCCUACCAGCAGCAGCAGCAGAGCCACCAUCACAACGGUCAACACUGUUCUCAGGACGAGCCAGCCAGCUCUCUGGUGAUCCUUCAGCUCCUGAGAUGUUACACUUGUAGAGUCCUUCAUCAGACUUGGAGACACUGUAGAUGAUCAUCUCUCCCAUAGAGCUGCUCCUGAUGAAGAGUCCAUCUUUAUAGAAAUCAGCAGGGAGGUUGGUAGAAGUAGUUUUGUUUCUACAGCGAAGAAUCACAGGAUUUCCCUCCAUCACAGGAAGAGCAGGACUCUCCAGAAUCACAGAACCAGCUGGUCACAGGAUAUGGAAACAAACUGAGUACUCACACAGUCUGAUGCAGAGAGCUGCGACCUCCAUGUUGUCUUGCUGCGGACCGUGUGAACAUCAGCCUGCGGUGUCUUGUAGUGCUUCAUGUUGGAGGGAAACACCAGGCUGGCUGAUCCUGGACAGGGUGAGUUGUGGCUGUAGGGUCUCCAGGUGAUGCUUGGGUCCCUCAUCAGACACUGUGUAGCAGCUGAUGAGACUGCUCAAGAUCCAGGUCCUUUGAAUCAAGGAUCCCUAGUUAGCUUAAAAUACCAAUAUGUACAUUGAAACACUUUUUGGUAAAUGUUAUUUGUUUAAAUUUAUGUUUAUUGUUUAGACAGAAAAAAGUUCCCUCAUUCAAUUUCAAUUCAUAAAAAAAUAAAGAUAAUCUGGAGCUACAAUCAGACUCUGAGCGGCACUGUCCUGGAGUAAAAGUAUAAAAUCAUU